UACGUAGAAGACUAGUGUUAUUCAUCUUUAGUAGGUUUAAAGGGUACCUAGACGGUAUAAUUAGUCUUAGACAGGAUACGGUUACUACUAGAGUUAUAUAUAAGGAAAGGUGAGUAUUUAAGGAGUAGAGUUGAAAUUCAUUGAUAUCUUAGCGACUGAUAAUGGCGAAAGCAACCUUUUAUCUAAUAACUGAACGUUGAGGGACGAAGGCUCGGGUCACGAACCAGG
rnacentral:rRNA from 1 species